CCAUUUUUAGCCUUUGUGGGAAAAUGCUUUUCCAGAGAAGGAUCUGUGAACCUGCACUGAGUGCCAAGGCCAACUAUGGAGAUGUCACCACCUGCCUGAGUCAAGAGGAACAGGAAACCUUGACUUCUGCCACAGUGAUGACAUAAAUAUAGCUCCCAAUCAGGAUUGGCUUCUCUGUAUAUGCAUGAUUUCUUCCAUAAUCAGUACCCACAGUUGAUGAGCCACGAGAAGUAGCCCUUGUGUUAGAAGGUGACAUGUCUGACAGCAUGCCAUAGCCAGGUGAAGGCUACACCCACCAUGUGACAACAGACCACUCUUCCUGUUCCCUUAGGAGGGUGACCUUCCUUCUCCCCAGGUAACUUGGCAGGGCUGCCAUCCCUUCUGCACUGAUUGCCCUCAUGGUCUGUCCUGAUGUCAUCAUCCAUGGUCACUGUUGUAGGCCUCUGUAACUGUCUGUCUUUCUUCCUUUCAGCUUUUCUGUGGUUUUCUUAGGAGUUACAAACCUUACUGUGACAACUGGGAGAGUGGCAGCUAAUCACAAAGCAACAUAUCCUGAAUUCACUGCAACUUCUCUGUGUGGAAUUGGGAAGUGUGGCUUGCCCUCCCCCUGGUGACUGUGUCAUAUGCGGCUUUCACCCAGCAUAGUCACGAUCUAGAGAACUGGAUAUGAUCCACAGGCACACACAGAGGGGGCAGUGCCAUCACGCAUGCUAUGUCCCAAGUAUAAGACUUAAAAAUCUAGUUAAAGAGCAAG
rnacentral:lncRNA from 1 species